GGAGCGGUGGCAGAGAGGACGAAUGCACCGGUCUUGAAAACCGGCGACCCGCAAGGGUCCGAGGGUUCGAAUCCCUCCCGCUCCGCCA
rnacentral:tRNA from 1 species